UACGUAGGAGGCGAGCGUUGUUCGGAAUUAUUGGGCGUAAAGAGCGUGUAGGCGGUUUGGUAGGUCCGUUGUGAAAACUCGAGGCUCAACCUCGAGACGCCGGCGGAAACCAUCAGGCUAGAGUCCGGAAGAGGAGAGUGGAAUUCCUGGUGUAGCGGUGAAAUGCGCAGAUAUCAGGAAGAACACCCGUGGCUAAGGCGGCUCUCUAGUACGGUACUGACGCUGAGACGCGAAAGCGUGGGGAGCGAACAGG
rnacentral:rRNA from 1 species